GGGUUGUGAGGUUAAGCGACUAAGCGUACACGGUGGAUGCCCUGGCAGUCAGAGGCGAUGAAGGACGUGCUAAUCUGCGAAAAGCGCCGGCGAGGUGAUAUGAACCUUUGACCCGGCGAUGUCCGAAUGGGGAAACCCAGUGUGAUUCGUCACACUAUCGUUAACUGAAUACAUAGGUUAACGAGGCGAACCGGGGGAACUGAAACAUCUAAGUACCCCGAGGAAAAGAAAUCAACCGAGAUUCCCCCAGUAGCGGCGAGCGAACGGGGAGGAGCCCAGAGUCUGAAUCAGCGUGUGUGUUAGUGGAACGGUCUGGAAAGUCCGGCGAUACAGGGUGACAGCCCCGUACACGAAAAUGCACAUGCUGUGAACUCGAAGAGUAGGGCGGGACACGUGGUAUCCUGUCUGAAUAUGGGGGGACCAUCCUCCAAGGCUAAAUACUCCUGACUGACCGAUAGUGAACCAGUACCGUGAGGGAAAGGCGAAAAGAACCCCGGCGAGGGGAGUGAAAAAGAACCUGAAACCGUGUACGUACAAGCAGUGGGAGCAUCCUUCGGGGUGUGACUGCGUACCUUUUGUAUAAUGGGUCAGCGACUUAUAUUCUGUAGCAAGGUUAACCGAAUAGGGGAGCCGAAGGGAAACCGAGUCUUAACUGGGCGUUAAGUUGCAGGGUAUAGACCCGAAACCCGGUGAUCUAGCCAUGGGCAGGUUGAAGGUUGGGUAACACUAACUGGAGGACCGAACCGACUAAUGUUGAAAAAUUAGCGGAUGACCUGUGGCUGGGGGUGAAAGGCCAAUCAAACCGGGAGAUAGCUGGUUCUCCCCGAAAGCUAUUUAGGUAGCGCCUCGUGAACUCAUCUUCGGGGGUAGAGCACUGUUUCGGCUAGGGGGUCAUCCCGACUUACCAACCCGAUGCAAACUGCGAAUACCGAAGAAUGUUAUCACGGGAGACACACGGCGGGUGCUAACGUCCGUCGUGAAGAGGGAAACAACCCAGACCGCCAGCUAAGGUCCCAAAGUCAUGGUUAAGUGGGAAACGAUGUGGGAAGGCCCAGACAGCCAGGAUGUUGGCUUAGAAGCAGCCAUCAUUUAAAGAAAGCGUAAUAGCUCACUGGUCGAGUCGGCCUGCGCGGAAGAUGUAACGGGGCUAAACCAUGCACCGAAGCUGCGGCAGCGA
rnacentral:rRNA from 1 species